AGAGUUUGAUCAUGGCUCAGAAUCAACGCUGGCGGCGCGCUUAACACAUGCAAGUCGAACGAGAAAGUGGAGCAAUCCAUGAGUAAAGUGGCGUACGGGUGAGUAACACGUGGGUAAUCUACCUCUGGGUGGGGGAUAACCCUGGGAAACCGGGGCUAAUACCGCAUAAGCCUGGAAAGGGAAAGGCGAAAGUCGCCGAGAGAGGAGCCCGCGGCCGAUUAGCUAGUUGGUAGGGUAAAGGCCUACCAAGGCGAUGAUCGGUAGCCGGCCUGAGAGGGCACACGGCCACACUGACACUGAAACACGGGCCAGACUCCUACGGGAGGCAGCAGUGGGGAAUCUUGCACAAUGGGGGCAACCCUGAUGCAGCGACGCCGCGUGAGCGAUGAAGCCCUUCGGGGUGUAAAGCUCUUUCGGCUGGAACGAUGAUGACGGUACCAGCAGAAGAAGCUGCGGCUAACUACGUGCCAGCCGCCGCGGUAAUAC
rnacentral:rRNA from 1 species